UACGUAGGGUGCAAGCGUUAAUCGGAAUUACUGGGCGUAAAGCGUGCGCAGGCGGUUAUGUAAGACAGAUGUGAAAUGCCCGGGCUUAACCUGGGAACUGCAUUUGUGACUGCAUGGCUAGAGUGUGUCAGAGGGGGGUAGAAUUCCACGUGUAGCAGUGAAAUGCGUAGAUAUGUGGAGGAAUACCGAUGGCGAAGGCAGCCCCCUGGGAUAACGACUGACGCUCAUGCACGAAAGCGUGGGGAGCAAACAGG
rnacentral:rRNA from 1 species